ACAGCAGUCGCCACGGUAAUACGAAGGGUGCAAGCGUUAAUCGGAAUUACUGGGCGUAAAGCGCGCGUAGGUGGUUUGGUAAGAUGGAUGUGAAAUCCCCGGGCUCAACCUGGGAACUGCAUCCAUAACUGCCUGACUAGAGUACGGUAGAGGGUGGUGGAAUUUCCUGUGUAGCGGUGAAAUGCGUAGAUAUAGGAAGGAACACCAGUGGCGAAGGCGACCACCUGGACUGAUACUGACACUGAGGUGCGAAAGCGUGGGGAGCAAACAGGAUUAGAUACCCCCGUAGUCCCUGUCUCUUAUAC
rnacentral:rRNA from 1 species